CAAAAACAUGUCCUUUUGUUUAAUAUAUAAGGUCUAACCUGCCCAAUGAUUUUAUUUAAUGGCCGCGGUAUAUUAACUGUGCUAAGGUAGCAUAAUCAUUUGUCUUUUAAUUAAAGGCUAGUAUGAAUGGUUGGACGAAAUGUAAGCUUUCUUUAAUUCAAUUUAAGAAUUUAAUUUUUUAGUUAAAAAGCUAAAAUAUAUUUGAGGGACGAGAAGACCCUAUAGAUCUUUAUAUUUUAAAUUCUUAAUUAUUUUAGUGAAUAACUUUUUUAAUGAUUUAAAUUAUUUGAUUGGGGUGAUUGUAGAAUAAACAUAACUUCUAUUUAUUUUUUUCAUUAAUAUAUGUGUAUUUGAUCCAAAAAUUUUUGAUUAAAAGAUUAAGUUACCUUAGGGAUAACAGCGUAAUUCUUUUGGAGAGCUCACAUCGAUAAAAGAGUUUGCGACCUCGAUGUUGGAUUAAAAUAAGUUUUAGGUGUAGGAGUUUAAAAACUAGGUCUGUUCGACCUUUAAUUUUUUACAUGAUCUGAGUUCAA
rnacentral:rRNA from 1 species